rnacentral:rRNA from 1 species
UACGGGGGGGGCAAGCGUUGUUCGGAAUUACUGGGCGUAAAGGGCUCGUAGGCGGCCAACUAAGUCAGACGUGAAAUCCCCAGGCUCAACCUGGGAACUGCGUCUGAUACUGGAUGGCUUGAAUCCGGGAGAGGGAUGCAGAAUUCCAGGUGUAGCGGUGAGAUGCGUAGAUAUCUGGAGGAAUACCGGUGGCGAAGGCGGCUAUCUGGACGGUUUCUGACACUAAGACUCGAAAGCGUGGGGAGCAAACAGG